UACGGCUCAGUAACACGUCGUCAAUCUACCGUAGUGAGGUGUUAAUCCCGAGAAAUUGGGGCUAAUACACCGUAGUCCUUCGAAUCUGGAAUGAUUGAAGGAUGAUAGGAUGCACCCGCAUGCUGGGUGUAAUCGCACUUCGAUGAGACGGCGGCCGAUUAGGUUGUUGGCGGGGUAACGGCCCACCAAGCCCGCGAUCGGUACGGGCCUUGAAAGAGGUAGCCCGGAGAAGGGAACUGAGAUAAGGUCCCUAGCCCUACGGGGUGCAGCAGUUAGGAAACCUUUACAAUGCGCGUAAGCGUGAUAGGGGUAGUUCGAGUGCCAACUCUGUUGGCUUUUGCCAGGCCUAAAAAGUCUGGCGAAUAAAGGGGGGGUAAGAUACGUGCCAGCCGCCGCGGUAAUACGUACUCCCUAAGUGGUAUCCACUUAUAUUGGGCCUAAAGCGUUCGUAGCCCGUGGAAAAAGUCCUUGGUGAAAGUGGCUCGCUUAACGAGUCAAAUGGCUAAGGAUACUAUUCCGCUUCGAGGUCAUACGAGGUCAAGAGAAUUGCAGGGGUAACGGUGAAAUGUUGUGAUCCUUGCAGGACUACCAGUAGCGAAGGCGCUUGACCAGGAUGAUCCUGACGGUGAGGAACGAAAGCUGGGGGAGCGACCCGGAUUAGAUACCCGGUUAGUCCCAGCUGUAAACGAUGCGGACUAGGUGUU
rnacentral:rRNA from 1 species